GGAGAAUCCCCAUGAACAGAGGAGCCUGGUGGGCUACAGUCCAUGGAGUCACAAAAAGUCAGACUUGACUGAGUGACUAAGCACUCUACAGGAGAUGGGCCGUCCUUCCAUUUAGUCCAUCAUAUUCAGAAUACUGAAAGUAGAAUCAAAUCACUUUCUGAUUUCUUAAUUGAGCUGCUUGUCCCUUUCUCAUUUCACAGGAACAGGAAGUUCCUCACAUGUUCUCAUCAAGAACAGUGUUGCCAGAGUUGUCCAUCUGGUUUGUAAAGAUGCAGGAUGGUCUCAGAACCUGAAGCAAGCUGGAGAGACCUCCAAAGACGUAAUUUAAAGCCACACUCUGAAAAUAACAGAGCAAAUGGGAAAGGCCUGUUCUCCACUGAGUUUUCAGUCCUGGUAACUGAACUAAAAAAGACUGUGGCCUCUUCCAACCUCAACACCAGGCUCAACCAGAAAAAUGAAAUAAAUAUUUCUCAUUCAGGGCUCUGGCAGAAGCAGGACAGACUGUGUGAAAUAAGACCUGAACUCCUUGCUGUGCCCUCAUUCCCCAGCCCUCCCUGGAGAUCUCCUUAAAAGUUGUCUGAAACGUAGCAGCAGAGAGAGGGGCAGGAGAAAUANAACGUAGCAGCAGAGAGAGGGGCAGGGGAAAUACAGCAGUGAAGAAAGGACGGAGAUGCAAGAGUGGUGCAUGGAGAAAACAUGGAGCAGAUGGGAAAACAGAGGAGACCCAACAGAGUGAAUUGGGAGGGUAGGGCGCAGUGCAAGAAACCGUAUCUCAGGUCUGAACAGCAUUGCUCAAAGCCCUACAUGUGACAUCCAGUGGAACCCGCCAUCUCUAAAGCUGACUUUAGUCUGAGCAACCCUAACUUCAGUCUGUCCAGCCAAGUGGGUUGUAGAGAGUUGUGUAAAGUUUCCAUCAGUUUAUCAGCAUAUCUUUGUCAAGCUUCUUCUUUUUUUUUUAAUUCACAUUUGGUUUAGACAUGACAGUCAUUGUGCCCUGUCUUCAACAUUGAAUACAUCCAACUCAUCUAUACCUACAGCCCUCACAGUGAGGUUACCCAAGUCAAGCUGUAGGGACACAUUCCAAUCUAAGCCAUAAAAAGCUUAAUUUUAUGUUAAAUCAGGAUAAGCCAGUGCUCUAGAGAAAACACAUAAACUGCCAAGUCCUCUUCUUGUCCCACGUUGGUCAUCCUGGUGCCUUGCAGGAGCAUUGUUUCCAGCUGUUAAGGUUAUGAAUUCUCCCACACUGUGGCCAAGAUGAGUCCAUUCUGACUACAGGAAUUUCCAGACAGGACAGAGAGAAUGACAUCAGCUGCCUCAACAAUUGACUUGGUUGGGGUUAGAAGCAGGGACUCAAACACCAUGGAAACUCAGAGUCACAGAACCAGCAGACUUAAGCUAGGCAACAGAGUUCACUUGAUAGAAUGCCUUGCUUUUGCUUCAGAACAUAAGGACAUCUUUUCCUGAUCAAGGGUGUAUUUUAUCUCCUUUAUAAUACUGAUUUAGUGAAAAUAAGUGCAUUGUCACACAGCACAAAAAUACGCCAUUAUUCAAUGGCUGCUGCUAUUUAAGCUGAAACAAUUAUUAUAUUUUCCUAGUGAACUGAACUUUUUACAAUUCUAAAGUGUCUUUUCAUAAGUCUCAGUUCAGUUCAGUCGCUCAUAGUCAUGUCUGACUCUUUGCGACCCCAUGAAUCACAGCACGCCAGGCCU
rnacentral:lncRNA from 1 species